AUGGUUGAGCAAGGGCCUAGGCUGGUAUUGCAAAUGAUUUCUGAUAACAGAGAAAUCAGAAAGUCUUGUGUUGUCCAUUCCUCUCAUGGAGAAGAGAACCCAUGUCACAUUUCAGGCAACCCGCACAUGAUAACUUUUGGCGUGGCACAACUUUUCUUUUCUCAGAUUCCAGAUUUUCAUAACACGUGGUGGCUCUCAAUAGUUGCAGCAGUCAUGUUUUUCUCUAUUCUAUAA